rnacentral:rRNA from 1 species
GACGAACGCUGGCGGCGUGCUUAACACAUGCAAGUCGAACGGAAAGGCCCUGCUUUUGUGGUGUGCUCGAGUGGCGAACGGGUGAGUAACACGUUAGUAACCUGCCCUUGACUUUGGGAUAACUUCAGGAAACUGGGGCUAAUACCGGAUAGGAGCUCCUGCUGCAUGGUGGGGGUUGGAAAGUUUCGGCGGUUGGGGAUGGACUCGCGGCUUAUCAGCUUGUUGGUGGGGUAGUGGCUUACCAAGGCUUUGACGGGUAGCCGGCCUGAGAGGGUGACCGGCCACAUUGGGACUGAGAUACGGCCCAGACUCCUACGGGAGGCAGCAGUGGGGAAUAUUGCACAAUGGGCGGAAGCCUGAUGCAGCAACGCCGCGUGCGGGAUGACGGCCUUCGGGUUGUAAACCGCUUUCGCCUGUGACGAAGCGUGAGUGACGGUAAUGGGUAAAGAAGCACCGGCUAACUACGUG